rnacentral:rRNA from 1 species
AUGAUGCUCCUAUACUUAAGGAGUAGAUCUUAUUCGGAAGCUAUUUCAGCACUAGUUCUGAAACUUGAAAGUAAAUUUACCCGUACCCAUCCUACUUUGCAAAGAUUGUUUUUUGAGCUUCCCGUUAUAAAGAAUCCUAAAGCUAAAAAGUUGGCCACUCUUGUUCUUAUGAAUGAAUUUGACUACAUAAUACGGGAAGCUAGGGAAAUCUUUGACUUUUAUGGUAUGAAUCGUGAAAAACCCGUGAUAGAUGAAAUUAUUUACAAUAGUGAUUAUGCGUUAAGACAUUUGCUUGGGGAUAAUAAAAUCUUUGAUGAGAAUCUUAAAAAAGAAGUCCCCAUUUUAGAUGUAAUCCAACAAGUUUUCAAUAAUGUUAAUCAACAUUACUCUAGGAUUGUUGCCGGAAACCAAAGGGGUUAUGAUGAUGGGAAACUUAAUAAUGCUAAAGUUUCUAUGGAUAAUAUGUUUUAUGUUGUCUUUACAAAACCUAGUAACAAAAACACCUCUAAGGAAAUUAAAGAGAAGGACAAUAAAACUUAG